rnacentral:rRNA from 1 species
AGGGUGAACGCUGGCGGCGUGCUUAAGACAUGCAAGUCGGACGAGGUCUUCGGACCUAGUGGCGCACGGGUGAGUAACGCGUAACUGACCUGCCCCAAAGUUCGGAAUAACUGGCUGAAAAGUCAGCUAAUACUGAAUGUGCAGCAUCCUCGUGUGGGUGUUGUAAAGGCUAUGACCGCUUUGGGAUGGGGUUGCGUUCCAUCAGCUAGUUGGUGGGGUAAAGGCCCACCAAGGCGACGACGGAUAACCGGCCUGAGAGGGUGGCCGGUCACAGGGGGCACUGAGACACGGGUCCCACUCCUACGGGAGGCAGCAGUUAGGAAUCUUCCCCAAUGGGGGCAACCCUGAGGGAGCGACGCCGCGUGAGGGAUGAAGGUUUUCGGAUCGUAAACCUCUGAAUCUGGGACGAAAGACCGGGACAACCGGAGAUGACGGUACCAGAGUAAUAGCACCGGCUAACUCCGUGCCAGCAGCCGC